CUAAGGCUAAAUACUCUCUAGUGACCGAUAGUGAACCAGUACCGUGAGGGAAAGGUGAAAAGCACCCCGGAAGGGGAGUGAAAUAGAACCUGAAACCGUGUGCUUACAAGUAGUCAGAGCCCGUUAAUGGGUGAUGGCGUGCCUUUUGUAGAAUGAACCGGCGAGUUACGAUUUGAUGCAAGGUUAAGCAGUAAAUGUGGAGCCGUAGCGAAAGCGAGUCUGAAUAGGGCGUUUAGUAUUUGGUCGUAGACCCGAAACCAGGUGAUCUACCCUUGGUCAGGUUGAAGUUCAGGUAACACUGAAUGGAGGACCGAACCGACUUACGUUGAAAAGUGAGCGGAUGAACUGAGGGUAGCGGAGAAAUUCCAAUCGAACCUGGAGAUAGCUGGUUCUCUCCGAAAUAGCUUUAGGGCUAGCCUCAAGUGAUGAUUAUUGGAGGUAGAGCACUGUUUGGACGAGGGGCCCCUCUCGGGUUACCGAAUUCAGACAAACUCCGAAUGCCAAUUAAUUUAACUUGGGAGUCAGAACAUGGGUGAUAAGGUCCGUGUUCGAAAGGGAAACAGCCCAGACCACCAGCUAAGGUCCCAAAAUAUAUGUUAAGUGGAAAAGGAUGUGGCGUUGCCCAGACAACUAGGAUGUUGGCUUAGAAGCAGCCAUCAUUUAAAGAGUGCGUAAUAGCUCACUAGUCGAGUGACACUGCGCCGAAAAUGUACCGGGGCUAAACAUAUUACCGAAGCUGUGGAUUGUCCUUUGGACAAUGGUAGGAGAGCGUUCUAAGGGCGUUGAAGCAUGAUCGUAAGGACAUGUGGAGCGCUUAGAAGUGAGAAUGCCGGUGUGAGUAGCGAAAGACGGGUGAGAAUCCCGUCCACCGAUUGACUAAGGUUUCCAGAGGAAGGCUCGUCCGCUCUGGGUUAGUCGGGUCCUAAGCUGAGGCCGACAGGCGUAGGCGAUGGAUAACAGGUUGAUAUUCCUGUACCACCUAUAAUCGUUUUAAUCGAUGGGGGGAC
rnacentral:rRNA from 1 species